UUUAAGGAUUGUUUUGCGAUAAAUGAGGACUGAAUUGCGACCGGGACAUUUUUUACGAAUUGAAAUGGGGACUUUAUUGCGACCGGGACUGUUAGUCGAUUUUUUUCCGGGACUGUUUUAAGACAAUAAGGAUUCUUUCACGACUGUAGGGACUGUUUGUUAAUUGACAUAAGGAUUGUAUUGCACUUGAAAAAUAUAAAAUUUAAAACUAAUGCGCAUGUGCCAAAUUUGGAAUUAGAAAAGGGCUGCUUGUAAACUUAGAAACUUUAUAAACUAGAAAAAAACUGUGAAUGAUCUUUUUUAAUUUUACUUUCUAGAUUUUGUUCAUCUUUUGGAAAAUAUUGAUUUAAAAAAUGGUUUAAUAUCUGAAUUUGUUAUUUUUUCGGAAGUUAUUGAUGUAAAAAAAUGGUUCGAUAUCAGCUAAAAUGAUUUUGUUAAUCUAUUGGAAGUUAUUGAUGUAAGGAAAUGGUUCGAUAUCAGCUAAAAUGAAUUUGUUAUUUUUUCGGAAGUUAUUGAUGUAAAAAAAUGGUUCGAUAUCAGCUAAAAUGAUUUUGUUAAUCUAUUGGAAGUUAUUGAUGUAAGGAAAUGGUUCGAUAUCAGCUAAAAUGAAUUUGUUAAUCUAUUGGAAGUUAUUAAUGUAAGGAAAUGGUUCGAUAUCAGCUAAAAUGAAUUUGUUAAUCUAUUGGAAGUUAUUGAUGUAAGGAAAUGGUUCUAUAUCAGCUAAAAUGAGCAACUGUGGCGCAGUGGUUAGAGUUUUGGCUCAGUAACCCAGAGGUUCGACGCCGGCUCUAGCCCAACUAUGCGACAUUGGUAAGGAAGGAGGCGUGAACUUCUAGUUAAAUACCUUUCCGCGGUGCUCCGUGAUAAGACCGUAAAGACUUCUGGGAGCACGUAAAAUAACUUAAAAAAAUAAAAUAAAGGAUGCUCAUGAAAUAAAUGUGAAAGAACAAAUACUUCUUUUUUUCAAGUGGUUCAGUGAUAAAAAUAAUAUCAAAGAAAUUGGUUUCUGCAAGUAAGGAGAGUUCAAUCAGUUUUGAUGGAUUAAGAGAGGUGGCAUUAAUGUAGAAGCAGGAGAGAUAAGGCAAAGAUGCUCAUGAAAUAAAUGUGAAAGAACAAAUAUUUCUUUUUUUCAAGUGGUUGUAUUAAAUCAUUUUUAUUUGUGAUUGUAAGUUGUUUACAGUUUAUAAAAAUGUUUCUGUUUUUUAAUUUAACAUAAAUUGAGUUUGAAGAAUGGCAAAAUAGUAAGAGGACAAUAAAGAUUUUUUUACAGUUAUAGGGACUGUUUGUUGAUUGAUAUAAGUAUUGUAUUGCAUUAUAUAAGUAUAAAAUUUAAAGCUAAUGCCCAAGCGCCAAGUUUUGAUUUAGAAAAGGGCUGCCUAAAAGUUUUAAACUUUAUGAUCUAGAGAAGAGCU